rnacentral:rRNA from 1 species
AUUGAACGCUGGCGGCAUGCUUUACACAUGCAAGUCGAACGAGUGGCGAACGGGUGAGUAACAUAUCGGAACGUACCCAGUAAUGGGGGAUAACUAAUCGAAACAUUAGCUAAUACCGCAUACUAUUCGAGCGGCCGAUAUCUGAUUAGCUGGUUGGUGGGGUAAAGGCCUACCAAGGCGACGAUCAGUAGCGGGUCUGAGAGGAUGAUCAGCCACAAUGGAACUGAGACACGGCCCAGACUCCUACGGGAGGCAGCAGUGGGGAAGUUUGGACAAUGGGCGCAAGCCUGAUGCAGCCAUGCCGCGUGUAUGAAGAAGGCCUUCGGGUUGUAAAGUACUUUUGGCAGGGAAGCGGUACCUGAAGAAUAAGCACCGGCUAACUACGUGCCAGCAGCCGCGGUAAUUC